GUGCCAGCAGCCGCGGUAAUACGUAGGAUCCUAGCGUUAUCCGGAUUUACUGGGUGUAAAGGGUGCGUAGGCGGACUUGUAAGUCAGUGGUGAAAUCUCGGCGCUCAACGCCGAAACUGCCUUUGAUACUAUAAGUCUUGAGUUUGGUAGAGAUCCGUGGAAUUCCGAGUGUAGCAGUGAAAUGUGUAGAUAUUCGGAAGAACACCAGCGGCGAAGGCAGCGGAUUGGGCCAAUACUGACGCUCAGGCACGAAAGCAUGGGGAUCAAACAGGAUUAGAAACCCCAGUAGUCC
rnacentral:rRNA from 1 species